UACGUAGGGGGCAAGCGUUGUCCGGAUUUAUUGGGCGUAAAGAGCGUGUAGGCGGCCAGGUAGGUCUGCUGUGAAAACUCGGGGCUCAACUCCGAGCCUGCAGUCGAUACGGGCAGACUAGAGUGCGGUAGGGGAGACUGGAAUUCCUGGUGUAGCGGUGAAAUGCGCAGAUAUCAGGAGGAACACCGGUGGCGAAGGCGGGUCUCUGGGCCGUAACUGACGCUGAGGAGCGAAAGCGUGGGGAGCAAACAGG
rnacentral:rRNA from 1 species